CUCUUCGGGGAUGAUUAAACCGGCGCACGGGUGAGUAACACGUGAGUGACCUGCCUUUUAGACUGGAACAACUUACCGAAAGGUGAGCUAAUGCCGGAUGAGUUAUAUAAGUGCAUGUUUAUAUAGGAAAAGUUGGGGAGACCUGACGCUGAAAGAUGGACUCGCGUCCCAUUAGCUAGUUGGUAGGGUAAUGGCCUACCAAGGCGACGAUGGGUAGCCGGCCUGAGAGGGUGGCCGGCCACACUGGGACUGAGACACGGCCCAGACUCCUACGGGAGGCAGCAGUGGGGAAUUUUGCGCAAUGCUCGUAAGAGUGACGCAGCGACGCCGCGUGAAUGACGAAGGCCUUCGGGUCGUAAAGUUCUUUCGACAGGGAAGAAAAUGCCUAUAAGUAACUGUGUAUGUAUUGACGGUACCUGUAUAAGCAGCCCCGGCUAACUCCGUGCCAGCAGCCGCGGUAAUACGGAGGGGGCGAGCGUUGUUCGGAGUGACUGGGCGUAAAGAGCACGUAGGCGGUGUUGUAAGUCAUUAGUCAAAGACUAGAGCUCAACUUUAGUAAGGCUAGUGAUACUAUAAUACUAGAGUAUCAGAGAGGAUUGCAGAAUUCCUGGUGUAGCGGUGAAAUGCGUAGAUAUCAGGAGGAAUACCGUUAGCGAAGGCGGCAAUCUGGCUGGAAACUGACGCUGAGGUGCGAAAGCGUGGGUAGCAAACAGGAUUAGAUACCCUGGUAGUCCACGCUGUAAACGAUGGAUGCUAGGUGUUGGGCUUUUAAGUUCAGUGCCGCAGCAAACGCGAUAAGCAUCCCGC
rnacentral:rRNA from 1 species